CUACCUUUUGCUAUGGAAUAACUCAGGGAAACUUGUGCUAAUACCGUAUGUGCCCUUCGGGGGAAAGAUUUAUCGGCAAGAGAUGAGCCCGCGUUGGAUUAGCUAGUUGGUGGGGUAAAGGCCUACCAAGGCGACGAUCCAUAGCUGGUCUGAGAGGAUGAUCAGCCACACUGGGACUGAGACACGGCCCAGACUCCUACGGGAGGCAGCAGUGGGGAAUAUUGGACAAUGGGCGCAAGCCUGAUCCAGCCAUGCCGCGUGAGUGAUGACGGUCUUAGGAUUGUAAAGCUCUUUCACCGGUGAAGAUAAUGACGGUAACCGGAGAAGAAGCCCCGGCUAACUUCGUGCCAGCAGCCGCGGUAAUACGAAGGGGGCUAGCGUUGUUCGGAUUUACUGGGCGUAAAGCGCACGUAGGCGGACUUUUAAGUCAGGGGUGAAAUCCCAGAGCUCAACUCUGGAACUGCCUUUGAUACUGGAAGUCUUGAGUAUGGUAGAGGUGAGUGGAAUUCCGAGU
rnacentral:rRNA from 1 species